rnacentral:rRNA from 1 species
CCUACGGGAGGCAGCAGUGGGGGAUAUUGCACAAUGGGGGGAACCCUGAUGCAGCGACGCCGCGUGGGUGAAGAAGCGCCUCGGCGCGUAAAGCCCUGUCAGCAGGGAAGAAAAUGACGGUACCUGAAGAAGAAGCCCCGGCUAACUACGUGCCAGCAGCCGCGGUAAUACGUAGGGGGCAAGCGUUAUCCGGAUGUACUGGGUGGAAAGGGGGCGCAGACGGCGAUGCAAGCCAGGAGUGAAAGCCCGGGGCCCAACCCCGGGACUGCUCUUGGAACUGCGUGGCUGGAGUGCAGGAGGGGCAGGCGGAAUUCCUGGUGUAGUGGUGAAAUGCGUAGAUAUCAGGAGGAACACCGGUGGCGAAGGCGGCCUGCUGGACUGCAACUGACGUUGAGGCCCGAAAGCGUGGGGAGCAAACAGGAUUAGAUACCCCAGUAGUC